rnacentral:rRNA from 1 species
CCUACGGGUGGCAGCAGUGAGGAAUAUUGGUCAAUGGACGAGAGUCUGAACCAGCCAAGUAGCGUGAAGGAUGACUGCCCUAUGGGUUGUAAACUUCUUUUAUAUGGGAAUAAAAUGUUCCACGUGUGGGAUUUUGUAUGUACCCUAUGAAUAAGGAUCGGCUAACUCCGUGCCAGCAGCCGCGGUAAUACGGAGGAUCCGAGCGUUAUCCGGAUUUAUUGGGUUUAAAGGGAGCGUAGGUGGGUUUUUAAGUCAGUUGUGAAAGUUUGGGGAUCAACCGUAAAAUUGCAGUUGAAACUGGCAGUCUUGAGUACAGUAGAGGUAGGCGGAAUGCGUGGUGUAGCGGUGAAAUGCUUAGAUAUCACGAAGAACUCCGAUUGCGAAGGCAGUUCACUGGACUGCAACUGACACUGAGGCACGAAAGUGUGGGUAUCAAACAGGAUUAGAUACCCGAGUAGUC